UUAGAAUUUACCCUACGGCUAUACCUGAAUGAAACAAAAUGAUACACAUAUAAGUUUAGUCAUCACAGCAUUGUUUGUAAUAGCCAAAAUUUGGAAACAACUGAAACAUAGAGGAUUGGUUUAAUUAUGGUACAUUCAAACAGAAGAAUACUAUGCUGUUAUGAAAGAAGAACUAAAGAGAGGGAGGUAGGGAGAAAGGAGGAAAGGGAAAGCUUUCUUUCUGCUGAUACAGAAAGAUGUCCAAAAUCUAUUAUUUAGUGAAAGAAGUAAAUUGUAGAAUAAUCCAUAUAAUAUGCUACUUUUGUAUAAAAGUUGGGUAGGGACAAGGAUCCAUAUUCAAAUUGACUUACAUGCAUAUAAAAAACCUGAACGAAUAGAAGCAUAAGAAACUAAGACUAGUGUUUUUUUUGGUGGUGGGGUCAGAGAACUUGGGCAGAUGGGAGACACAGAUGACAGCAAGACAUCUCCCUGUGUAUCUUUGGUCACUUUUGUCUUUGAAUCACGGGCAUGUAUAGCCUAUUCAAAAAAAUAACCUAAGUAAGGAAAAAAUUGACUUAGCUCUUCAUGAAUUUAUAUUCUUCCAUAUAAAAUUUAGAAUAAGCUUGUUGAAUUGCUAAAGAAAAGAAAAAUCUAACUGGUUUGGACUAGGCUAAAACCCUUUGCUCUUCACUACUCUGCUCCUUUCACCAAGUGUCCAAAGUGCAAUGAGAGUUAUGAGGGCCAGAAGCCAUGAGAGGUUCCUGGCUGGGUGGAAACCAGGACUGGAAACAGUGAAGAACUCAGAAGAAGGUCACCAAGUUGUAUAUGGCUCUUGGUUUUCAUUUAAACACGGGCCAUUUAGAACAAUCUAUUCCUAUCCUUUCUGUUUGCCUAACUGUUUUGUUAAGGAAUUACAUCUCUAGAGAAGAAGGAAAAAGAAGUGUCAAAUAUAAUUUUUUGUUCAGUUAGAAUCAUUUUUAACAUUUAAAUAUAAAAAGUGAGCACUGACAUAUUUUAGACACACACACAGGUCUAAUAGCCAAAACAUGCAGAGGAAAUGAGCUCCUGCUCUGUCCUCCACAGUCCCCAGCCAAUGGUUGAAGCUGCUGCCAGCUCUCCCUCCUUUCCAACAUACAUAUAGAAGUUCACAGCGGUUGCUUUAUGUUACGGCUGUGAUGAAUUUUGCAUUUCAUAUCGUUUGCACGUCCCUCCCAAUAUCUCCAUUCUUCAAAAUAAAAUAAAAGUCAUUAAUGGUCAGGGGUGCAUCCUUCUCAAUGGCAUCAGUUCCUACCCCACAACAGAACAGUGAGGAAAUCUUCCCGUCAUGGGUAAUUUCAUGAAAGGAAGGGAGUGGGGAUGGCCAGAGCUGGAAUAACUGUCUGCAUUGCUGUGCUCUGGUAUCAGACAGAGGACUGAAGAAACAGGACAGUGUGGAGGCACAUUUGCAUGUUGGGAGUUUACAUGAAACAGGUGGGAAGAAUUCUCCCCACCAGGUUUAGAUAGAUCAGUGUGCCAAAGCUAAAAGAAAAAAAAUUCCAAAUGAUCAGAGUUCAAACACUAUCAAAUUUUCAAACUUCUCUCACGAAGACAGGUCUACUACAGAAGUAAUACUCUAGAUCUUUUCAGGAAGUGAAGUGCCCCUGGUAUUCCUCCUGACAGCCGUGUUAGGCCCUAGAAGUAUCUGCCAUUGCUGCAGUUGAAGCUGUAGCUCCAUCUGCAAUUUCUCAGUCUCAGAGAGAACGGCAAGUACCAGGACCGUGCAGGUCCCAAUCCACAAGGCUGCCCUGGAAAACCUGCACAUUUUUUGAGCCACAAAGGGAGGGAUCAAAAAUGUCUCCAGCCAUGGACAGGAUCUUCUCGGGGUACACCUCCGUCAGACCCCAUAGUCUCUCUGACAGGGUCUCAUCUAGCUCCUCGUUGCCUUCCUCUUCCAGCUUCUCCUCGCUCUUCUUGGCAUCGCCUUUCAGAAGCAAUUCAUCUGGGGACAGGGGCGCAGCAGGGCCGGCAGCGGGGGCGGCCUUGGCUGAAGCGGAGGUUGACUAUAUUAUCUUUAAAGCAACUCCGUGAGUGAAGACUACAGGAAAUGCAAGCGGAAACGCCUGCCUAAGGGGACGGAGCAGGUCCAGGGGGACUGGACGCCAGGCGCUGGGAAUUCUGGGUAGCGCAUUGCUGCUGUCCAGCCUGAACAAGGGACCCCAUGAUUUCUAGGACCCGUAAGUCUCCCAGGCGCUUUGCCUUGGCACGUGAUGAAUCCUUUGGUCUACACAGUAAGACAGCCCUUGAGGUAAGGAAAUUGGAGCCUGGGGUCCCCAGGAAAACAGGGUGAAGUGUAAAGAAGUCUGUGGGGGCCCAGCCUACGGCCGAGGCUGAGCCCCACUCCAGCUGGACAAUGCCCUAAAGAUGGCACCUGCUUCCCUGUUGGGGAUUGGCCCAGCAGACUUCCGUACCCGU